rnacentral:misc_RNA from 1 species
UGUCCUGACCGCUUUCCAGGCCUGUGCUUGUUCUCAGGGCUGCAUGAAUAAUCUGACCUUUGGUGAUUCCACUUUUGGGUACUACGAAACAAUUGCUGGUGGUAGCGGAGCUGGACCGACAUGGGACGGAACGAGUGGAGUGCAGUGCCACAUGACCAACACUAGGAUGACUGAUCCUGAAAUCUUCGAGCAGCGGUACCCAGUUAUUCUUCACAGG